AUGGUAGUUAUCGUUUUUGGUGGAAUAGACUUUGACGAUCCGACUACGAACAUGAGGAUGUCGCGCCUUAGCAAUCGCUAAACCAACUCCGAGAACUAUGUAGGCAUGACCCGAGACACUUCUCGGUCAAUAUCCAAUAGCGGGACCUAGAUGCCCAUAUUAGAUCCUACAUAUUCUACGAAGAUCUUAUCGGUUGAACCUCUGUGCGAAG
rnacentral:lncRNA from 1 species